UACGGAGGGGGCAAGCGUUGUUCGGAAUUACUGGGCGUAAAGGGCUCGUAGGCGGCCAACUAAGUCGGAUGUGAAAUCCCCAGGCUUAACUUGGGAACUGCAUCCGAUACUGGAUGGCUUGAAUCCGGGAGAGGGAUGCGGAAUUCCAGGUGUAGCGGUGAAAUGCGUAGAUAUCUGGAGGAACACCGGUGGCGAAGGCGGCAUCCUGGACCGGCAUUGACGCUGAUGAGCGAAAGCCAGGGGAGCAAACGGG
rnacentral:rRNA from 1 species